rnacentral:tRNA from 1 species
ACUGUGGCUCAGUGGAAGAGCUUCAGCUUUGUGCGCAGAAGGCUCCAAGUUCAGUCCCCAGCAUCUAUA